UUGGCCCCAGUAACGGCGAAGUGAAGCGGCAACAGCUCAAAUUUGAAAUCUGGCUCCUAGAGUCCGAGUUGUAAUUUGUAGAGGAUGCUUUUGAUGCGGUGCCUUCCGAGUUCCCUGGAACGGGACGCCAUAGAGGGUGAGAGCCCCGUCUGGUCGGAUGCCAAAUCUCUGUAAAGCUCCUUCGACGAGUCGAGUAGUUUGGGAAUGCUGCUCAAAAUGGGAGGUAUAUGUCUUCUAAAGCUAAAUAUUGGCCAGAGACCGAUAGCGCACAAGUAGAGUGAUCGAAAGAUGAAAAGCACUUUGAAAAGAGGGUUAAACAGUACGUGAAAUUGUUGAAAGGGAAGCGCCUAUGACCAGACUUGGGCCCGGUGAAUCAUCCAGCGUUCUCGCUGGUGCACUUUGCCGGGCACAGGCCAGCAUCAGUUUGUCUUGGGGGAAAAAGGCUUUGGGAACGUGGCUCCCUCGGGAGUGUUAUAGACCAUUGCAUAAUACCCUGGGACGGACUGAGGUUCGCGCAUCUGCAAGGAUGCUGGCGUAAUGGUCAUCAGCGACCCGUCUUGAAACACGGACCAAGGAGUCGUCUUCGUAUGCGAGUGUUCGGGUGUAAAACCCCUACGCGUAAUGAAAGUGAACGCAGGUGAGAGCUUCGGCGCAUCAUCGACCGAUCCUGAUGUUCUCGGAUGGAUUUGAGUAAGAGCAUACGGGGCCGGACCCGAAAGAAGGUGAACUAUUCCUGUAUAGGGUGAAGCCAGAGGAAACUCUGGUGGAGGCUCGCAGCGGUUCUGACGUGCGAAUCGAUCGUCAAAUAUGGGAAUGGGGCGAAAGACUAAUCGA
rnacentral:rRNA from 1 species